AGAGUUUGAUCAUGGCUCAGAUUGAACGCUGGCGGAAUGCUUUACACAUGCAAGCCGAACGGCAGCACGGGGCAACCUGGUGGCGAGUGGCGAACGGGUGAGUAAUACAUCGGAACGUGCCCAAUCGUGGGGGAUAACGUAGCGAAAGUUACGCUAAUACCGCAUACGAUCUACGGAUGAAAGCGGGGGAUCGCAAGACCUCGCGCGAGUGGAGCGGCCGAUGUCAGAUUAGGUAGUUGGUGGGGUAAAGGCUCACCAAGCCAACGAUCUGUAGCUGGUCUGAGAGGACGACCAGCCACACUGGAACUGAGACACGGUCCAGACUCCUACGGGAGGCAGCAGUGGGGAAUUUUGGACAAUGGGCGCAAGCCUGAUCCAGCCAUUCCGCGUGCAGGAUGAAGGCCUUCGGGUUGUAAACUGCUUUUGUACGGAACGAAACGGCGAGCUCUAAUACAGUUUGCUAAUGACGGUACCGUAAGAAUAAGCACCGGCUAACUACGUG
rnacentral:rRNA from 1 species